GAUGAACGCUGGCGGCGUGCUUAACACAUGCAAGUCGAACGAAGCACUUUGGACGGAUUCUUCGGAUGAAGUCCUUAGUGACUGAGUGGCGGACGGGUGAGUAACGCGUGGGUAACCUGCCUCAUCCAGGGGGAUAACAGUUAGAAAUGGCUGCUCAUACCGCAUAAGCGCACAGUACUGCAUGGUACAGUGUGAAAAACUCCGGUGGUAUAAGAUGGACCCGCGUUGGAUUAGCUAGUUGGCAGGGUAACGGCCUACCAAGGCGACGAUCCAUAGCCGGCCUGAGAGGGUGGACGGCCACAUUGGGACUGAGACACGGCCCAGACUCCUACGGGAGGCAGCAGUGGGGAAUAUUGCACAGUGGGGGAAACCCUGAUGCAGCGACGCCGCGUGAGCGAAGAAGUAUUUCGGUAUGUAAAGCUCUAUCAGCAGGGAAGAAAAUGACGGUACCUGACUAAGAAGCCCUGGCUAACUUCGUGCCAGCCGCCGCAGUAAUAC
rnacentral:rRNA from 1 species